rnacentral:rRNA from 1 species
UGGGGAAUUUUGGACAAUGGGCGAAAGCCUGAUCCAGCAAUGCCGCGUGUGUGAAGAAGGCCUUCGGGUUGUAAAGCACUUUUGUCCGGAAAGAAAUCCUUGGCUCUAAUACAGUCGGGGGAUGACGGUACCGGAAGAAUAAGCACCGGCUAACUACGUGCCAGCAGCCGCGGUAAUACGUAGGGUGCAAGCGUUAAUCGGAAUUACUGGGCGUAAAGCGUGCGCAGGCGGUUUGCUAAGACCGAUGUGAAAUCCCCGGGCUCAACCUGGGAACUGCAUUGGUGACUGGCAGGCUAGAGUAUGGCAGAGGGGGGUAGAAUUCCACGUGUAGCAGUGAAAUGCGUAGAGAUGUGGAGGAAUACCGAUGGCGAAGGCAGCCCCCUGGGCCAAUACUGACGCUCAUGCACGAAAGCGUGGGGAGCAAACAGGAUUAGAUACCCUGGUAGUCCACGCCCUAAACGAUGUCAACUAGUUGUUGGGGAUUCAUUUCCCUAGUAACGUAGCUAACGCGUGAAGUUGACCGCCUGGGGAGUACGGUCGCAAGAUUAAAA